AAGAACCAACCGGGAUUGCCCUAGUAACGGCGAGUGAAGCGGCAAGAGCUCAAAUUUGAAAGCUGGCCCCCUCGGGGUCCGCAUUGUAAUUUGCAGAGGAUGCUUCGGGAACGGCCCCCAUCUAAGUGCCCUGGAACGGGCCGUCAUAGAGGGUGAGAAUCCCGUCUGGGAUGGGGUGGCCGCGCCCGUGUGAAGCUCCUUCGACGAGUCGAGUUGUUUGGGAAUGCAGCUCUAAUUGGGUGGUAAAUUUCAUCUAAAGCUAAAUAUUGGCCGGAGACCGAUAGCGCACAAGUAGAGUGAUCGAAAGAUGAAAAGCACUUUGAAAAGAGAGUUAAACAGCACGUGAAAUUGUUGAAAGGGAAGCGCUUGCGACCAGACUCGCCCGCGGGGUUCAGCCGGCACUCGUGCCGGUGUACUUCCCCGCGGGCGGGCCAGCGUCGGUUUGGGCGGCCGGUCAAAGGCCUCUGGAAGGUAACGCCUCUCGGGGCGUCUUAUAGCCAGGGGUGCCAUGCGGCCUGCCCGGACCGAGGAACGCGCUUCGGCUCGGACGCUGGCAUAAUGGUCGUAAGCGACCCGUCUUGAAACACGGACCAAGGAGUCUAACAUCUACGCGAGUGUUCGGGUGUCAAACCCGUGCGCGCAGUGAAAGCGAACGGAGGUGGGAACCCCCCGGGGUGCACCAUCGACCGAUCCUGAUGUCUUCGGAUGGAUUUGAGUAAGAGCGUAGCUGUUGGGACCCGAAAGAUGGUGAACUAUGCCUGAAUAGGGCGAAGCCAGAGGAAACUCUGGUGGAGGCUCGCAGCGGUUCUGACGUGCAAAUCGAUCGUCAAAUUUGGGUAUAGGGGCGAAAGACUAAUCGAACC
rnacentral:rRNA from 1 species